AGAGGAGGUCAGUAUAGAAGGAGGAGAAGAGUGUCACACAAGCUUCCAUGGAAUGAGCUGAAUGAGUCACGGGAUGGGGCUGGCUGGGAGAGGAAACAACAACACAGAUUGUAGGACGGACCAGGCAGAGGACAUUACAGGACAGAUAUGGAUCCAGCAAUGAGGACACCACACCGGCCCCGAGGAGACUGGUAUGGACUGGCUUGAUCAUCUCUAUGGUCUAAGAAACUGGAAACAACUUACGGUUUCUAUCAGAUGGCUUGUGAAAGAUCUGGGGUCCAAUAGACCCAAAAUGUCUCAAUAAAGAAAACUUGUCACUGCCCAUGCGAUCACAAGAGAUGUUGUUCAUCCCUUGUGAUAGCAAUAAAAGUGAUACAA